rnacentral:piRNA from 1 species
UUUUGAUACAUUAAUGAAAGU